UUUGCAAGUGCCAAGUGAGCCUGGGCUUCAUAACAAUACCAUCUCUCAAAAAAAAUCAAAAGGCAGGGAUUAUGGCUUGAUGGUAAAAUACUUGACCAUUUUCAAGUCUGUGGAUUCAAUUUCUAACACAGGGGGAAAACGGUGGAUGUAAUGCAUCCAGGUAAAAACACUUUUUACAAAUUAAAAAAAAAAAAAAAAAAAAGAGGCUUUUAGUGCCAGGAAAAUGCCUAUCCUGACUGGCCGACAGAGUGCCAUGUUGAAGACCACAAUGAUAAAUCUAUUGUUUUGUCCCCAGUGGGCUCAGGUGUUUGAGCACUUGGUUAGUCCCAAGCUGGUGCUGUUCUGCAAGGGUCUAACAUUUUUGGAAUUUGAAUCCUAGCUGGUAAAAGGGGUGAAGCUUAAGAAUUUCAGCCCAGUCAAAUUCUGUUGGCUUCUUGACCUAUGAAGUGUGAGGGAUCCAUUUCCCAAGCUUUUGCAGCCUUGAACAUAAACAUCCCUAGCCAUUAUGCUUCCCCCACCAUGACAGGCUGUGUUGCCUGGACUUGGGAACCAUCAGCUGAGGAUUAGGUGUUUACACAUAUGAACCUAUGGAGAUAUUUGAGAUUCGAACCCUAUCAGUUCAUUACCCUGUUAUUCUGGAGCCUCUGGCACAGCAGCAUGUCACAGGGAGGGAAUCUACUCAUUUAAGGACAAGAAUUCAAGAGAGAGAAAGGAGAGGACAGAGUCCCAUAAUCCCCUCUGUGACCUAUCCGUUGCCCUUUGGCCAGACCCUUUUAAAAGUUCCACCACCUACCAAUAGCACCACAGGCUGAGGGCCAAAUCUUGAAUACAAGUACCUAGUUAUAAAGGCUGUAGUUGUUAUUGUGACCUUUUCAGAGGUGAUGGGGAUUUCAAGUGCUGAAUGUUGUCCUCACAGGGCUACACCUGGCUCCUCCUCACUGGCUUACUGUUUUUCUUUGGUGACUAUGAGGUAACUGAAGAAGCACACGGCUCAAUGGAACAAUAGAAAGUGAUCAACAGUUCUACCUGCAGGGAACGUGGUACAUGAUGUAGGUAAGGUUUCAAAUUACUUCUAGAAGAAAGUAUAUUAAUUCAUCAGUGUUAUAGGGACAGUUAUACAGCCUUGAGGAAAAUAGUCAAGUUACAGCCUAUAUCAUAUUUUUCACCUAAAGUAAUUCCAAACAUUUUAAAUAUUUAACAUAUUAACACAGGAAAAAAAAUAAAAAUUCUCUAUGAGAAAAUAUGGGAAAUAUGUUUUCUAUACUCUUAAAUGUAAAAGAAAUGGUUUGGAUUAUAAAAACUCAGAACUCACAAAAGAAAUGACUAUGAACUUGGCAGGUAAAAAAUUUCUUACAGCUGAGGAAAAAUUGUAACGCAUGCUAAUUAGGAGAAGAGCAAACCAAGAUAUGUUCAGCUUGCAUCGGACUCAAAUGACUUACUUACAUAGAUAGGUAGGUAUGUAGGCAGGCAGGCCGACAGACAGACAGAUAGAUGUUUAGCCAUGUACAGUGUCAGAAGGGCACCACAAGUUCAAAACCAACCUGCACUAUAUGACGAGAGCCAGUGUACCUUGAUCGUGUGAAUUUUAUUAAACCAGGUCUCACUGUGUCCCAGGGUGGCCCUUAAUGCUCAAGUAACUCUUAACUUUCAACUGGGAGAACAAGCUCACACCAUUUGACUGCUUAGCCCAUUAGGAAAAGUAUGUUUUUAAAGAUAAAGGCUAUGAACUGUUAGUUCACAGAAUAGAAACACAAACAGCUCUUCAGUAUGUGAAAAGAUACUCAUUCUUAACAAAAGAGAUGCAAAUUAAAAUCACAAGAGAAACCAUUUUUUACUUCUUUAGCUAAGAUACAACAGUUGAUUAAAAACUGUGCUGUUUUGGCCUACAAGACCAAGCCUACCAAUACCAGUCAAGGAAGGGGAAGGAACAUGGAGACCUACUCCUUACCUCUGAGCUACAGCCUAUUGAUAGGUUCUGGGAGGAGGGGCUUGCUGGCUAGUUGGCAAAUACCCAGAUAGAAAGGAACAGUUUCUUGGGCACAUUUUCCUGGGUGAUACCCAAAGGUCAUUAAGACUAGAACACAGACACUUGGUCCCUGGGCACAAAAACUAGUCCCUACAGAACUAGCAAAGGGGUAGGGGGUGUCUUAUUCUGAGCUGGGUACCAUGAAAUUUUUAUUUUCAUUACCAAUGGGAUCUUUUAAAUCUUGUAAAAUGAUUACAAAGAAAUCCCAAGAAUAGAGAUUUCAGCCACUAGAUCUGAAAAGAAAAACAUCCCUGCAUACAAGGCCUUUCUCUUGGGGUUCAUUGGCAGUAAUUUCUCUUGCCUGUUUGCAGAAAAGAAGAAGAAGAAGAAGAAGAAGAAGAA
rnacentral:lncRNA from 1 species